AGAAAUGUGCUGCACAUACCUACUCCCAUCCACACUGUAUAGCGGAUCCAAGUGUCUGAUCCAAGCUGAACCAUAAGAUGGACAUUGACAAAGCUUCUGCUGUAUUCUGCGGCUGCUUCCAGACGAUGAGGAUGAUGAGAAAAAUCAUUGCUACUAUCACAGAAAGACAAAGUAGGCUCCACCACUGCAGGGCUUGCAGGUUCUUUGUAACCACUCAUAAAGGUAAGCUUCUUUCAAUAACAAAUAUACAACCCUGUGCAUAUAUGUCUUGAGUGACUCCUUGUUUCCAUAUAUUUUGUUACGCCCUAGCACGCUCUAUUAAUGAGCUACCACUAGCUGCCACUCAGUUUGGACAAGAUCUCCAACGGCACUGGCUAUAAUGCAGCCCCACAACAUGACAAGGUCUCCACCGUGUUUUAGCUGCAGACAUCACUCCAUAAGACCUGUUGCCACUGGUUUUUAGUCUAGCUCUUGUCUUGUGUUGAGGUAUUUGGCAAACCUCAGCAUUUACUCCUUGCUCCCUUCAUUAAGAAUCGCUUUUGAAGGACAGCCAUCAUUCCAGUGAGAUCAUCCAGUGGAUGGAACAACUGAAGGGGCAGAUGGAUCUCUCAAAUCCUGUGCUGGCUCUUUGUAUAUUUUUCUAUGUCUUAAGGACAUGACUUUCAGAUACUGUUCAUUAGCUGUAGGUAAUAUUUUCUCCAGUUUCUUCACUUAUUAAGGACAAACUGGACGCCAUGCCAAGAUUGUGGUGUAGUGUUGUGUUUGGCAGGCUGAAGCUUUAUGCAGGAUUCAGAGGCAGACCUGGACUCAAAAAGCAGAUUUAUUGCUGGACUUACAGGAAAACCACAAACUAGAAAACCUGGAAACUCAGAAUGGAAUUAAUAAUCAACAAGGAGAACAAAACACGAGGGAGACACAGCAUGAUGGUGGUUGGGACAAGGAACUAAGGAAACGAUGGUCCUAAAUAUACACUUGAGGCAAACAGGGAGAUCAAACACAUACGUGGACACAGCUGAACUAAAUCAGGGAAACAAGACAGAGCAAAACUGAACACAAUUCACACAGGACAUGAGACUAUCAAAAUAAGAGACGAAGCAUAAACACAGGGAUGGGGACAGAGACUCAAGACACAGAACCCAAGACAAGGAAAGGGUAAACAAACACAGAGGCAUGACUGAGCCAAGGGAGAGAGAGCAAGCAAGGGACAGAAAGAGAGAGAGGGAGAAUGCACACGAGGAGUGACUAGCAUAGCAAGAAAUCAAGGACUAUAACCAAACUCAGAAGCACAAGAGAAUAAUACACUCAGUAACCAUAUAUAUAUAAAUCAUCUUAUACUUCUCCAAAGAAAUAACUAACAAGUCCUGUCAAACUCCAAUACUGGGUCAAAGAUAAAGAUAUGCCAAUUUCUGGCUAAUAGCUCUUUGUGUUAUCUUUGGCAUUAACUGAAAAAAAUGGCAACCAAUGAUGUUGGGGGGGUCCGACAGGCCGGUAGGAACAAAGCCCGUCAAGAUACAGUUUUAAACUGAUGCUUUGUCUGUUAUGGCAUAUUUCAUCCUUUCAGUUAGAAACCCUUUUAUAUUUGAAGGAUUCAUAGGUUAGUGAUUUAACAAACAAAAAACAUUCCUCUGAAAAUGGUCAGGUACAAGGACUGGACUCAAACUGAGUGAGAAAGCAGUCAGUGUCCAAAGAAAAACUUUGAAAGACCUUCAGAAAGUCGGAAUACUAAUGGUGAAGAUCACUUUUAGAAAAUGCAAGAAAGUCUUGUUUGUUAGGUGCAAAAUAUAAAGAAAUAAGUGGA